UCGGGAAUCUUGCACAAUGGGCGAAAGCCUGAUGCAGCAACGCCGUGUGGGCGAGGAAGGUCCUCGGAUCGUAAAGCCCUGUUGUUGGGGACGAAGGGCGUAGGGUUAAUAGCCCCUAGCCUGACGGUACCCUUCGAGGAAGCCCCGGCUAACUACGUGCCAGCAGCCGCGGUAAUACGGAGGGGGCAAGCGUUGUUCGGAAUUACUGGGCGUAAAGGGCGCGUAGGCGGCACAUCAAGUCAGAGGUGAAAGCCCCGGGCUCAACCUGGGAAUUGCCUUUGAAACUGAUGAGCUAGAGUCCGGAAGAGGAUAGCGGAAUUCCCAGUGUAGAGGUGAAAUUCGUAGAUAUUGGGAAGAACACCAGUGGCGAAGGCGGCUAUCUGGUCCGGUACUGACGCUGAGGCGCGAAAGCGUGGGGAGCAAACAGGAUUAGAUACCCCCGUAGUCC
rnacentral:rRNA from 1 species